UCAAGUAAUUAAGUGCAUGUGGUGGAUGCCUUGGCAGUCAGAGGCGAUGAAAGACGUGAUAGCCUGCGAAAAGCUCCGGGGAGGCGGCAAAUAUCCUUUGAUCCGGAGAUGUCUGAAUGGGGGAACCCACCUACUUUAAGGUAGGUAUUGCAACAUGAAUACAUAGUGUUGCAAGGCGAACGAGGGGAAGUGAAACAUCUCAGUACCCUUAGGAAAAGAAAUCAAUUGAGAUUCCCUCAGUAGCGGCGAGCGAACGGGGAUCAGCCCAUUAAGUUAUGUGUGUUUUAGUGGAACGCUCUGGGAAGUGCGAACGUAGAGGGUGAUAUUCCCGUACACGAAAGGGCACACAUAAUGAUGACGAGUAGGGCGAGGCACGUGAAACCUUGUCUGAAUAUGGGGGGACCAUCCUCCAAGGCUAAAUACUCCUGACUGACCGAUAGUGAACCAGUACCGUGAGGGAAAGGCGAAAAGAACCCCUGUGAGGGAGUGAAAUAGAUCCUGAAACCGCAUGCAUACAAGCAGUGGGAGCACCUUCGUGGUGUGACUGCGUACCUUUGUAUAAUGGGUCAGCGACUUAUAUUCAGUAGCGAGGUUAACCGUAUAGGGAGCCGUAGAGAAAUCGAGUCUUAAUAGGGCGUUUAGUUGCUGGGUAUAGACCCGAAACCAGGCGAUCUAUCCAUGAGCAGGUUGAAGGUUGGGUAACACUAACUGGAGGACCGAACCCACUGUCGUUGAAAAGCCAGGGAUGACUUGUGGAUAGGGGUGAAAGGCUAAUCAAGCCUGGUGAUAGCUGGUUCUCCCCGAAAGCUAUUUAGGUAGCGCCUCGGACGAAUACCAUAGGGGGUAGAGCACUGUUUCGGCUAGGGGGUCAUCCCGACUUACCAAACCGAUGCAAACUCCGAAUACCUAUGAGUACUAUCCGGGAGACAGACUGCGGGUGCUAACGUCCGUAGUCAAGAGGAAAACAAUCCAGACCGCCAGCUAAGGCCCCAAAAUCAUAGUUAAGUGGGAAACGAUGUGGGAAGGCAUAGACAGCUAGGAGGUUGGCUUAGAAGCAGCCACCCUUUAAAGAAAGCGUAAUAGCUCACUAGUCGAGUCGGCCUGCGCGGAAGAUGUAACGGGGCUAAAACUAUGUGCCGAAGCUGCGGAUGUAUACUUUGUAUACGUGGUAGGGGAGCGUUCUGUAAGCCGAUGAAGGUGUGUUGAGAAGCAUGCUGGAGGUAUCAGAAGUGCGAAUGCUGACGUGAGUAACGACAAAACGGGUGAAAAACCCGUUCGCCGAAAGACCAAGGGUUCCAGUCCAACGUUAAUCGGGGCUGGGUGAGUCGACCCCUAAGGCGAGGCCGAAAGGCGUAGUCGAUGGGAAAAUGGUUAAUAUUCCAUUACUUCUGUGUAAUGCGAUGAGAGGACGGAGAAGGCUAAAUCAGCCUGGCGUUGGUUGUCCAGGUGAAAGGAUGUAGGCAUGUAUCUUAGGCAAAUCCGGGGUACUCUAUGCUGAGAUCUGAUAGCAAGCUGUACUUGUACAGCGAAGUGGUUGAUGCCAUGCUUCCAGGAAAAGUCUCUAAGCUUCAGUUACACAGGAAUCGUACCCGAAACCGACACAGGUGGUCAGGUCGAGUAGACCAAGGCGCUUGAGAGAACUCUGCUGAAGGAACUAGGCAAAAUGGUACCGUAACUUCGGGAGAAGGUACGCUGUUGUUGGUGAUGGAACUCGCUUCCUGAGCUGACGACAGCCGCAGAAACCAGGCCGCUGCAACUGUUUAUUAAAAACAUAGCACUCUGCAAACACGAAAGUGGACGUAUAGGGUGUGAUGCCUGCCCGGUGCUGGAAGGUUAAUUGAUGGGGUUAGCGUAAGCGAAGCUCUUGAUCGAAGCCCCAGUAAACGGCGGCCGUAACUAUAACGGUCCUAAGGUAGCGAAAUUCCUUGUCGGGUAAGUUCCGACCUGCACGAAUGGCAUAAUGAUGGCGGCGCUGUCUCCAGCAGAGGCUCAGUGAAAUCGAAAUCGCUGUGAAGAUGCAGUGUACCCGCGGCUAGACGGAAAGACCCCGUGAACCUUUACUGCAGCUUGACACUGAACUUUGACCUUACUUGUGUAGGAUAGGUGGGAGGCUUUGAAGCUGGAACGCUAGUUCCAGUGGAGCCGUCCUUGAAAUACCACCCUGGUAAUGUUGAGGUUCUAACUCUGUCCCGUGAUCCGGGACGAGGACCGUGUCUGGUGGGUAGUUUGACUGGGGCGGUCUCCUCCUAAAGAGUAACGGAGGAGUACGAAGGUGCGCUCAGCGUGGUCGGAAAUCACGCGUAGAGUAUAAAGGCAAAAGCGCGCUUAACUGCGAGACCCACAAGUCGAGCAGGUACGAAAGUAGGUCUUAGUGAUCCGGUGGUUCUGUAUGGAAGGGCCAUCGCUCAACGGAUAAAAGGUACUCUGGGGAUAACAGGCUGAUACCGCCCAAGAGUUCAUAUCGACGGCGGUGUUUGGCACCUCGAUGUCGGCUCAUCUCAUCCUGGGGCUGAAGCAGGUCCCAAGGGUAUGGCUGUUCGCCAUUUAAAGAGGUACGCGAGCUGGGUUUAGAACGUCGUGAGACAGUUCGGUCCCUAUCUACCGUGGGCGCUGGAAAUUUGAGAGGAUCUGCUCCUAGUACGAGAGGACCAGAGUGGACGAACCUCUGGUGUACCGGUUGUGACGCCAGUCGCAUCGCCGGGUAGCUAUGUUCGGAAGGGAUAACCGCUGAAAGCAUCUAAGCGGGAAGCCUACCUCAAGAUAAGAUUUCCUAGGACUUUAUGUCCUCUAAAGAGCCGUUCGAGACUAGGACGUUGAUAGGUUGGAUGUGGAAGCAUAGUGAUAUGUGAAGCUGACCAAUACUAAUUGCUCGUGAGGCUUGACUA
rnacentral:rRNA from 1 species